GUGCCAGCCGCCGCGGUAAUACCGGCAGCCCGAGUGAUGGCCGAUCUUAUUGGGCCUAAAGCGUCCGUAGCUGGCUGCGCAAGUCCGUCGGGAAAUCCACUCGCUCAACAGGUGGACGGCCGGCGGAAACUGCCCGGCUCGGGACCGGAAGACCCAACGGGUACGUCCAGGGUAGGAGUGAAAUCCCGUAAUCCUGGACGGACCGCCGAUGGCGAAAGCACGUUGGGAAGACGAAUCCGACAGUGAGGGACGAAAGCUAGGGUCUCGAACCGGAUUAGAUACCCCAGUAGUCC
rnacentral:rRNA from 1 species